rfam:Pseudogymnoascus pannorum VKM F-3557 contig_3326, whole genome shotgun sequence.
UGUGUGUUAGCUUAAUAGGCAGAGCUAUGUGCUACGGACACAUGGAUACAGGUUCGAUUCUUGUACACGCUU